AUGUGGAUGGAGAAGGGCAUACUGAAUGAAAGAGAAAGGCCACUGCUUGUUUCUAGGGGACAAGCUACAGGCAACGGUGUGGCGCAUGCAUGGUGGGCACUGGGCCAGGACAGAGCAGGCUUGCAGGGGCCCAGUGGGGUUUUAAAAAUAAUGUUUCACAGAGGUGUGAAUCUCUUCCCCUGAUGUCCCAGCCCACCAGUGCCACAUGACAGCCCCAAGUGGCUACAAGUGUUGCUGGCCUAAUGGAUAGGCUGGGGGAGGGGACAGAAACCAAAGGAGGAGCCCUGGAGUGAUCAAGGCACAGGUAUUACAUGCAUGGUGUGGGUGAAACCAGAGCCAGGGCACCAAAAGGUCGGCCCAAUGACCACAUCUUCCUUCUUGAAGAAGCCUCGGGCCUUGCCAACAUUCCUGGUCAAGACAUUCACCCAGAGGUCCACAUCCUCAGCCCAGGCCUCCUACACUGGGUCCAGAGCGGAAGAGCACAAGUUCCAGAAACA